AUACGGAGGGUGCGAGCGUUAAUCGGAAUUACUGGACGUAAAGGGUGCGUAGGCGGCUUGAUAAGUCGGAUGUGAAAGCCCCGGGCUUAACCUGGGAAUUGCAUUCGAUACUGUCAGGCUAGAGUAUGUCAGAGGUUGGCGGAAUUCCUGGUGUAGCGGUGAAAUGCGUAGAUAUCAGGAGGAACACCAGUGGCGAAGGCGGCUAACUGGGGCAAUACUGACGCUGAGGCACGAAAGCGUGGGGAGCAAACAGGAUUAGAAACCCGAGUAGUCC
rnacentral:rRNA from 1 species